UAUCCGUAGGUGAACCUGCGGAGGGAUCAUUACAGAAUUAAUGAGGCACGGGGUCUUCGCCUCGGCAAAUCCUUUUCUUAAAUCAUAUCCUAACAGCGGUGAUAGGCGAGGUGUCUACUGCCGACUUCGGCCAAGCAGCCGCCGCCCUAUUUCUAAAAACCCAGUAAUGUAGUUUCGGUUGUCUUCUAAUUACCUUAUAAAACUUUCAACAACGGAUCUCUUGGCUCUC
rnacentral:misc_RNA from 1 species